rnacentral:rRNA from 1 species
GACGAACGCUGGCGGCGUGCCUAAUACAUGCAAGUAGAACGCUGAAGGAGGAGCUUGCUUCUCUGGAUGAGUUGCGAACGGGUGAGUAACGCGUAGGUAACCUGCCUGGUAGCGGGGGAUAACUAUUGGAAACGAUAGCUAAUACCGCAUAAUAGUAGAUGUUGCAUGACAUUUGCUUAAAAGGUGCAAUUGCAUCACUACCAGAUGGACCUGCGUUGUAUUAGCUAGUUGGUGGGGUAACGGCUCACCAAGGCGACGAUACAUAGCCGACCUGAGAGGGUGAUCGGCCACCCUGGGACGGUGACACGGCCCAGACUCCUACGGGAGGCAGCAGUAGGGAAUCUUCGGCAAUGGACGGAAGUCUGACCGAGCAACGCCGCGUGAGUGAAGAAGGUUUUCGGAUCGUAAAGCUCUGUUGUAAGAGAAGAACGAGUGUGAGAGUGGAAAGUUCACACUGUGACGGUAUCUUACCAGAAAGGGACGGCUAACUACGUG